rnacentral:lncRNA from 1 species
UUUAGUUGUAAAAUAGAGGAAGAUGAUGAAGAAGAAAGGUGGCUGCCUAGCUGGUGACUAGCUACUGGAAGUAGAAGACCAACGACAUAUGCCGAUGGUGAGGACAACCGAAAAAAGGCAAACACUGUCAAAAAGAAUCACUCUAAAAUCGGGGAUAAACAUGAGAUGUUUUCCAUGCUUUGCUCUGAUGAGACUUUGGCCAAAGAAGAGGGCCUAAGACAAGAAAGGAAAGGGACAAAAAAGACCAGAUGGCUCGCCUAAGGUUCUGGCAAGCCUUGGUGAUGGUUUUUCGGCCAGCAUGAUGAACUUAAUUAAUAGAUUUUUAGGG